ACUCCUACGGGAGGCAGCAGUGAGGAAUAUUGGACAAUGGGCGGGAGCCUGAUCCAGCCAUGCCGCGUGCAGGAAGACUGCCCUAUGGGUUGUAAACUGCUUUUAUACGGGAAGAAACACUCCCUCGUGAGGGAAUUUGACGGUACCGUAAGAAUAAGGAUCGGCUAACUCCGUGCCAGCAGCCGCGGUAAUACGGAGGAUCCAAGCGUUAUCCGGAAUCACUGGGCGUAAAGAGCGUGUAGGCGGAUAGAUAAGUCAGGAGUGAAAUCCUAUGGCUCAACCAUAGAACUGCUCUUGAAACUGUCAAUCUAGAGUAUGGGAGAGGUAGAUGGAAUUUCUGGUGUAGGGGUAAAAGUCCGUAGAGAUCAGAAGGAAUACCGAUUGCGAAGGCGAUCUACUGGAACAUAACUGACGCUGAGACGCGAAAGCGUGGGAGCAAACAGGAUUAGAUACCCUGGUAGACUGUCAU
rnacentral:rRNA from 1 species